GCCUGGGUGGCUCAGCCAGUUAAGCGUCCGACUUGGGCUGGGGUCAUGAUCUCGCGGUUCGUGGGUUCAAGCCCCGCCUCGGGCU
rnacentral:tRNA from 1 species